UGCACCGUGAUGCUGGGUUCAUACUGAAGGGACCGGAGAGGAGGCGGCAGAUCAGGGAUAGGGUUCCCUGCCAACUGGGCUGCAUACUAGCAAUGCAGGCCUAGAUGCCCCAGCCCGGCCAGUGGACUGCCAGGGUCAGAGAUGCCAGGCUUCUGGAUCCACAGACGGUCAGGGGGCGUCCCCAGACGCACAGAAGCUUCGGAGGCCAUGGCAAGUCUGCACCCGGAGCCCGCCUCGAGGCUCACAUGCGUGGACCUUUCCAGUUUGGCUCAUUACAUGGAAGAGGCAGAACCUGGAGUAGGGAGAUCCACAGUGGCUACUGAAGAAAUGUUGGUGGGCUCUGAAGGUGCAGACAGAGAACACCUUCCCAUGAGUGGGUGGUCAGAAGGUCUCCCACUCCUCAACCCUUGGACCUGCUCUGAAAAAAGCCCCGGAGCUGCAGGUGAGAACAGUUUGGUCCCUGGUCCUUCAGCUGGCCUUUGUCCAUGUCAUGUCUGAGAUAAGGCUAUGUCUUCUGGCCAAGUUGUCCAUCUCUGGUACCUGUGACCUGAAGGAUUCACUCUUGGGGAGGGAACCCUUCACAAGCCCCAAGCCCCCGGGGACAUGGAGGCUGGACACCCGCUUGCUGGAAGGAUUCCAGACCACAAACAAGGAAGCACUGUGCAGGGAUUGGAAGGCUGGGUAAGAGUCACUGAUACCUCUGCACAGUUCUGUUCAGCUCCUCCUAGGUACUGGACCAAAAUGGCAGGGCAGACAAGAUGCCAAAGGCAGACAGCCUAGACAGAGCGUGGUAUAGAUGGAACUGGCAAAGUUAUCCCACCAAGGAAGCAGCAUGAGUAGACCUGGACAAGAGGUCUGCUGUGUGACUGGUCUAUUUAGGUUAGCAGAGUUGCCGAGGUGAGAGGUGCGCUCUGAUUGGCCAUGGAGCCUGCCCUUGUGUGCCUGGAGCUUUUCCUGACCGUGGUACGAAGCUUCCUCACGCAGUGCAUGAAGAUCCACCUGCAUCUUCCCUCUGCUGCCUCUCCCUCUGGCUUUUUGGGCUAUGGUUUUAAAUGGUUCCUCAUUUAAUCCAUCAGAAUGACCCAGAAGGAAGCAAUUGUUUGUAAAUGGGUCACUCCCUCAAGCAUGGUGGCAGCCUUCUUAUGAUGAAGAAAUUGGGUCUUUGCAAAUAUUAAGUAUCUAACUGAAGGGUAAGGGGAGAGAGGCCCCCAUGUGUUACGAGCUCUCCAUGGAAAAUGGGCAGUGUUCCUAUCUUUGUUUUAGAGAUGAAGAACCAAGGCUCUGAAGGCAACCAUCAGGCUGGGCGCGGUGGCUCACACCUGUAAUCCCAGCACUUUGGGAGGAUGAGGUGGGUGGAUCGCUUGAGCCCAGGGGUUUGAGACUGGCCUGGGCAA